rnacentral:rRNA from 1 species
AUUGAACGCUGGCGGCAUGCUUUACACAUGCAAGUCGAACGGUAACAGGUUAAGCUGACGAGUGGCGAACGGGUGAGUAAUGCAUCGGAACGUGCCCGAUCGUGGGGGAUAACGCAGCGAAAGCUGCGCUAAUACCGCAUACGAUCUGAGGAUGAAAGCGGGGGACCGUAAGGCCUCGCGCGAUCGGAGCGGCCGAUGUCAGAUUAGGUAGUUGGGGGGGUAAAGGCCCACCAAGCCGACGAUCUGUAGCUGGUCUGAGAGGACGACCAGCCACAAUGGGACUGAGACACGGCCCAGACUCCUACGGGAGGCAGCAGUGGGGAAUUUUGGACAAUGGGCGAAAGCCUGAUCCAGCAAUGCCGCGUGCAGGAAGAAGGCCUUCGGGUUGUAAACUGCUUUUGUACGGAGCGAAAAGGUCCUUUCUAAUACAAGGGGCUCAUGACGGUACCGUAAGAAUAAGCACCGGCUAACUACGUGCCAGCAGCCGCAGUAAGAC